CAGCCGCCGCGGUAAUACGUAUGUCACGAGCGUUAUCCGGAUUUAUUGGGCGUAAAGCGCGUCUAGGUGGUUAUGUAAGUCUGAUGUGAAAAUGCAGGGCUCAACUCUGUAUUGCGUUGGAAACUGUAUAACUAGAGUACUGGAGAGGUAAGCGGAACUACAAGUGUAGAGGUGAAAUUCGUAGAUAUUUGUAGGAAUGCCGAUGGGGAAGCCAGCUUACUGGACAGAUACUGACGCUAAAGCGCGAAAGCGUGGGUAGCAAACAGGAUUAGAUACCCGGGUAGUCCCUGUCUCUUAUACA
rnacentral:rRNA from 1 species